rnacentral:rRNA from 1 species
GGGAGGCAGCAGUGAGGAAUAUUGGACAAUGGGCGAAAGCCUGAUCCAGCAAUGCCGCGUGAGUGAAGAAGGCCUUAGGGUUGUAAAGCUCUUUCACCCGCGACGAUGAUGACGGUAGCGGGAGAAGAAGCCCCGGCUAAUUCCGUGCCAGCAGCCGCGGUAAUACGGAAGGGGCUAGCGUUGUUCGGAAUCACUGGGCGUAAAGCGCGCGUAGGCGGCCGGUCAAGUGCGGCGUGAAAGUCCUGGGCUCAACCCGGGGACGGCGCUGCGGACUGUCCGGCUGGAGUCCGGAAGAGGGUGGUGGAAUUCCGAGUGUAGAGGUGAAAUUCGUAGAUAUUCGGAGGAACACCGGUGGCGAAGGCGGCCACCUGGUCCGGUACUGACGCUCAAGCGCGAAAGCGUGGGGAGCAAACAGGAUUAGAUACCCCGGU